rnacentral:ncRNA from 1 species
UAGAGUUUUGCUCUGGCUCAGAACUAAUAAAAUGAACUAAUCUCAAUUAUUGUGCAUGCAAGUGUCAGCCAACCAACAAAAAAAUGCAAAACUAAAAGUAAAAUUGUAAAAAAAAAAAUAAAGGAAAUAAAAUAAUACUAACAUUCCUAAAUAAUUUGUAAAUGCAGUGCUUAAUUUUACAACAAUGAUGAAAAUCAGUUGAAAAUGAGAGAAAAAAGGUGGAAAAAAUUGUGCCAGCAUCCGCGGUUACACAAUUACCUAUGUUAUUAAUUAGGAAAGAUGGUAAUAUAAAAAAUUAAAGAAGGAAAAAAAAUAAAAAAAAAGUCUAAUAUAAUUUACUGUUUUCCUAACCUUCACAAAAUUUAAACCAUGAAAAUUAAAACUAGAACUAGGAUUAGAAACCCUACUACUAAUAAUACUAAACUAAAAAUUCCAGGGUAUUACGAGCUAUAGCUUAAAACCUAAAGAGCUUGGCGGUUUUCUAACUACAACCGGGGGAGCUUGUAAUUUAAAUGAUAAUCCGCAUUAAUCUUCACCUUUCUUAGAACCCUCAGUUUGUAUACCUCCGUCUAGUUAACCUCAAAGAGAAACAAAGUUAACUUCUCGAUUAUAUGAUCUCCAAGUCAGGUCAAGGUGCAACUUAUAGAAAGGCUAUUAUGAGCUACAUUACAAUAGUUAAUGAAAUAAAAAAUAAAAAAAUUUUACAAAAUAGUACUCGGCAGUAAUAAAAUUUUAAAACCCUUUUAUGAACUACACCUAGAAAAUGCACAAAUCGCCCGUCAAUCCCCCCUCUAGGGGGAUAAGUCGUAACACAGUAGGCGUACUUGAAAGUGUUCCUAA